CUUCUAGAUUGGAUUAACUGAGGCAGUAAGACCCCGCUCCUAACUGUGAGUAACACCAACUCAUGUGCUGGUCCUAAACAGAAUAAAAAGGGGAGACAAGAUGAGUACCGGCCUCCAUCACUCUGCUUCCCGACUCUGGGUGUAACGUGACCCUCCCUCCUGCUGCCCUGCCUUCUUCACAGAGCUAAAAUGCUUUUGAAAAAGCCAAGGAAACCAGGGGAGAGACCACAGUGCCUUCAACAGUCAGCCAGAGCCAGAGAGAAACAGAACCCCCUGACGGAAACCACAGCAUCAGAGCAGGCCUCACCAGCACUCGGCCUCAGCAGAUGUCCUGGAACAUGCUGUGCGUUUGUCCCAUUGGGUCCCAUGACACUGGAUAAAGCUCUGGACCCUACAAAUCCAAUGUCAAGACACCAUCAGGUUCCAUAUCUGGUGAGGGCUUCUCUGCUUCCUUUGUGCCUUGCUGCUGGAAUGUCCAGAAGAGACAUACCAUGUCUUCCUACAGUGAAAGGGACAGGCUGUACAUGCUGUGGGCAGAAUUCAACCAGCUGCCAGAGCCUUCACGCGGUGAGGAGGGGCUCUGAGAUGAAGUGGCCCCCUUGCCUCAGUUACCUGCUUCUCCAGUGGUGUAGCCAGGAUCCAGAGUGGAGCCUCAGUGUGGAUAGGCAGCUCCGGGUUCCCUCAGCACAGGCCCCUGCUUCUCCUGCUCCCCACCUUCUGCUCCUGCUCUUGUCCACGGUUGAUGGCUUCUGCUCUGUGCCUUUGGAGAAGCAGUACACACCCUGAGGACUGAGGACCAGCUAGAAAAAAAGCAGUUGCUGCACCCGCUGCCUCCUGUUA